GUGUCUGUGUACUACGAGACUACUACGAGCUGGCCAUUAAAGAACUCAUUACUGUAAAGGGAAAAGAGGACGGGACCGUAGGAUGGAUUAAAAAACAAUAUAUUAUGUUUUUUUUUAUUUUAAAAAAAGAGGGCAGGAGCAAAGAGCAACGAACACCCCGCACUCGAGUGACAAGCAAGAACAAAGAAGCGAAAGCUGGAGGAAAGAAAAGCGUGCGACGAAGAAAGACGCACCGUCGCCAAAUCUCUUCUGGCCCCGAAGGAGGAUCUGACGCUCUCCAUCCUCCUGAGCGCGAGAUCCCUGUACCAGCGCUCGGCGCCGCCCGGCCUGCCCGCACCCGCGGCUGCGGCGCCAGCGCCAUGUCCAAGACCGGCGGCGCCGCCGUGAGGGUGAGGCCACGCGGUCGCAGUCGCAGCGCCGGCCAAUGCGAGGGCGAGAGCCCCCACAAGUAGAGGCAACAGCAGACAUCUCGCUCUCCGUCCCGCCGCAGGCUCCAUGCUUAACCCCCUUGCCCUAUCGGUCUCUUGAGCCUGGCGCUGAGCUGCAGGCCGGUGCCGCUCCGCUCCGCUCUGCUGGCGCUACUGCUGGCGCAUCAAUGGCUGCAACUGCAACGGUCCCCUCCCUCCCUCCCUUUCCUCUUUCCUUUCCCGGCUGGGUUGGGUCGCAC
rnacentral:misc_RNA from 1 species